CUUGCUUUCUCGCCGGCGACCGGCGCACGGGUGAGUAACACGUAUGCAACCUGCCCCUGUCAGGGGGACAACCCGCCGAAAGGCGGGCUAAACCCGCGUACAUGCCACCGGGGCAUCCCGGAGGCAGGAAAGGCUUCGGCCGGACAGGGAUGGGCAUGCGGCGCAUUAGGCAGUAGGCGGGGUAACGGCCCACCUAACCGACGAUGCGUAGGGGUUCUGAGAGGAAGGUCCCCCACACUGGUACUGAGACACGGACCAGACUCCUACGGGAGGCAGCAG
rnacentral:rRNA from 1 species